rnacentral:rRNA from 1 species
UACGUAGGGUGCAAGCGUUAAUCGGAAUUACUGGGCGUAAAGCGUGCGCAGGCGGUAAUGUAAGACAGUUGUGAAAUCCCCGGGCUCAACCUGGGAACUGCAUCUGUGACUGCAUUGCUGGAGUACGGUAGAGGGGGAUGGAAUUCCGCGUGUAGCAGUGAGAUGCGUAGAUAUGCGGAGGAACACCGAUGGCGAAGGCAAUCCCCUGGACCUGUACUGACGCUCAUGCACGAAAGCGUGGGGAGCAAACAGG